AUUGGUCAGGCUGGUCUCGAACUCCUGACCUCAGGUGAUCCACCUGCCUCAGCCUCCCAAAGUGCUAGGAUUACAGGCUUGAGCCACCAUGCACAGCCCCAGGCAUAGAUUUUUCUUGAGGCAGAAGUGAGUGGGGAGGGCUCACUGAGUGGGAGGCCCUUCUUUGUCUCUCGUUGGCCACCUUCUGCAUGACAGACCUCAGGACAUCAAUUGCUUCUUUGAACCGUGCGGUGGCUCACGCCUAUAAUCCCAGCACUUUGGGAGGCUGAGGCGGGUGGAUCACAAGGUGAGGAGAUCGAGCCCAUCUUGGCCAACAUGGUAAAACCCCGUCUCUACUAAAAAUAC